rnacentral:rRNA from 1 species
GCUAAAUGGAGGUGAGCGGCUGCGUGAAGACGGGUAGGGAUAGGGGUAGCCGGAAUGAUUGGGAGUGAAGCGGCGGGAGGUGGGUAGUGAAGUCUGCGGGAAAAGACUGGGGCUUAACCCUGGAAAGGCCGUGGAAACUGACGAGCUAGAGUGCAGUAGGGGUAGAGGGAAGUCCCGGUGUAGCGGUGAAAUGCGUAGAGCUCGGGAAGAACAUCGGUGGCGAAAGCGCUCUACUGGACUGCAACUGACACUCAGGGACGAAAGCUAGGGGAGCGAAUGGGAUUAGAUACCCUGGUAGUC